rnacentral:rRNA from 1 species
UACGUAGGUGGCGAGCGUUAUCCGGAAUUACUGGGUGUAAAGGGCGCGUAGGCGGGGAUGCAAGUCAGGUGUGAAAUCUAUGGGCUUAACCCAUAAACUGCACUUGAAACUGCAUCUCUUGAGUGAUGGAGAGGCAGGCGGAAUUCCUAGUGUAGCGGUGGAAUGCGUAGAUAUUAGGAGGAACACCAGUGGCGAAGGCGGCCUGCUGGACAUUAACUGACGCUGAUGCGCGAAAGCGUGGGGAGCAAACAGG